CCUACGGGUGGCAGCAGUGGGGAAUAUUGCACAAUGGGGGAAACCCUGAUGCAGCGACGCCGCGUGAGCGAUGAAGUAUUUCGGUAUGUAAAGCUCUAUCAGCAGGGAAGAAGAUGACGGUACCUGACUAAGAAGCCCCGGCUACUACGGUCCAGGCAGCGGGGUAAUACGUAGGGGGCCAGCGUUAUCCGGGAUUACUGGGUGUAAAGGGGGCGUAGACGGCGAUGGAAGCCAGAUGUGAAAGCCCGGGGCUCAACCCCGGGACUGGAUUUGGAACUGUGUGGCUGGAGUGUCGGAGAGGCAGGCGGAAUUCCUAGUGUAGCGGUGAAAUGCGUAGAUAUUAGGAGGAACACCAGUGGCGAAGGCGGCCUGCUGGACGAUGACUGACGUUGAGGCUCGAAAGCGUGGGGAGCAAACAGGAUUAGAUACCCCAGUAGUC
rnacentral:rRNA from 1 species